AGUGAACGCUGGCGGUAGGCCUAACACAUGCAAGUCGAACGGCAGCACAGUAAGAGCUUGCUCUUACGGGUGGCGAGUGGCGGACGGGUGAGGAAUACAUCGGAAUCUACUUUUUCGUGGGGGAUAACGUUGGGAAACUUACGCUAAUACCGCAUACGACCUACGGGUGAAAGCAGGGGAUCUUCGGACCUUGCGCGAUUGAAUGAGCCGAUGUCGGAUUAGCUAGUUGGCGGGGUAAAGGCCCACCAAGGCGACGAUCCGUAGCCGGUCUGAGAGGAUGAUCAGCCACACUGGAACUGAGACACGGUCCAGACUCCUACGGGAGGCAGCAGUGGGGAAUAUUGGACAAUGGGCGCAAGCCUGAUCCAGCCAUACCGCGUGGGUGAAGAAGGCCUUCGGGUUGUAAAGCCCUUUUGUUGGGAAAGAAAAGCAGCAGGUUAAUACCCCGCUGUUCUGACGGUACCCAAAGAAUAAGCACCGGCUAACUUCGUG
rnacentral:rRNA from 1 species